UACGUAGGGCGCAAGCGUUAUCCGGAAUUAUUGGGCGUAAAGAGCUCGUAGGCGGUUCGUCACGUCGGGAGUGAAAACUCGGGGCUUAACCCCGAGCCUGCUUCCGAUACGGGCAGACUAGAGGUAGGCAGGGGAGAGCGGAACUCCUGGUGUAGCGGUGGAAUGCGCAGAUAUCAGGAAGAACACCGGUGGCGAAGGCGACUCUCUGGGCCUUACCUGACGCUGAGGAGCGAAAGCGUGGGUAGCGAACAGG
rnacentral:rRNA from 1 species